GUGAUUCGUCACACUAUCAUUAACUGAAUCCAUAGGUUAAUGAGGCGAACCGGGGGAACUGAAACAUCUAAGUACCCCGAGGAAAAGAAAUCAACCGAGAUUCCCCCAGUAGCGGCGAGCGAACGGGGAGCAGCCCAGAGCCUGAAUCAGUGUGUGUGUUAGUGGAAGCGUCUGGAAAGGCGCGCGAUACAGGGUGACAGCCCCGUACACAAAAAUGCACAUGCUGUGAGCUCGAUGAGUAGGGCGGGACACGUGGUAUCCUGUCUGAAUAUGGGGGGACCAUCCUCCAAGGCUAAAUACUCCUGACUGACCGAUAGUGAACCAGUACCGUGAGGGAAAGGCGAAAAGAACCCCGGCGAGGGGAGUGAAAAAGAACCUGAAACCGUGUACGUACAAGCAGUGGGAGCACGCUUAGGCGUGUGACUGCGUACCUUUUGUAUAAUGGGUCAGCGACUUAUAUUCUGUAGCAAGGUUAACCGAAUAGGGGAGCCGAAGGGAAACCGAGUCUUAACUGGGCGUUAAGUUGCAGGGUAUAGACCCGAAACCCGGUGAUCUAGCCAUGGGCAGGUUGAAGGUUGGGUAACACUAACUGGAGGACCGAACCGACUAAUGUUGAAAAAUUAGCGGAUGACUUGUGGCUGGGGGUGAAAGGCCAAUCAAACCGGGAGAUAGCUGGUUCUCCCCGAAAGCUAUUUAGGUAGCGCCUCGUGAAUUCAUCUCCGGGGGUAGAGCACUGUUUCGGCAAGGGGGUCAUCCCGACUUACCAACCCGAUGCAAACUGCGAAUACCGGAGAAUGUUAUCACGGGAGACACACGGCGGGUGCUAACGUCCGUCGUGAAGAGGGAAACAACCCAGACCGCCAGCUAAGGUCCCAAAGUCAUGGUUAAGUGGGAAACGAUGUGGGAAGGCCCAGACAGCCAGGAUGUUGGCUUAGAAGCAGCCAUCAUUUAAAGAAAGCGUAAUAGCUCACUGGUCGAGUCGGCCUGCGCGGAAGAUGUAACGGGGCUAAACCAUGCACCGAAGCUGCGGCAGCGACGCUUAUGCGUUGUUGGGUAGGGGAGCGUUCUGUAAGCCUGUGAAGGUGUGCUGUGAGGCAUGCUGGAGGUAUCAGAAGUGCGAAUGCUGACAUAAGUAACGAUAAAGCGGGUGAAAAGCCCGCUCGCCGGAAGACCAAGGGUUCCUGUCCAACGUUAAUCGGGGCAGGGUGAGUCGACCCCUAAGGCGAGGCCGAAAGGCGUAGUCGAUGGGAAACAGGUUAAUAUUCCUGUACUUGGUGUUACUGCGAAGGGGGGACGGAGAAGGCUAUGUUGGCCGGGCGACGGUUGUCCCGGUUUAAGCGUGUAGGCUGGUUUUCCAGGCAAAUCCGGAAAAUCAAGGCUGAGGCGUGAUGA
rnacentral:rRNA from 1 species